CGUCAGAGUCGUGUGGGCACUCUUGCGGGAAAGUUGGAAGAGGUCCGUUUCCUCGACCAUAGUCCGUGUCUGGGAACGGGUGUUGUGGAUCAGAGUGGUGUGGGUAUUCCCAUGAGUCGUCACUAAUUGAAACGCAUAUUCGCUGUCGAACUGAGUCAGUCCCUUUUAAUCMMGGCCGAUUGUGCMACGGUCGGCGGCGCCGAAUGUGGCACCCGAGUUCAACUAUGAGUGGCCGCAAUUCGCACCAAUUUCAGAGUAUUUUAAUCCCAAUUUAAUUGUGAAUCACCAAAAUACGAACUACAAUUCUUUAUGUGUUUGCUUUCAAUGGGAUUUAAAUGGAACUUGGGUGCUGUCGAUCCUUCUGUUUGACCCUAAUCUAUGGGGUGAUACGGAUUGGCAUUUGUUAAUUAAAUGUAGAAGUGGCGGUCCCUUAAUGCUCGUUACGAAUUUUGGGUUUCCUAAACUGCCACAGGGUGGGGCGAUCUCCUCGGACAAGAUAUUAGCUACUAGGGGCGAAGUGGAUUGGUAGGGAGCGGGUAGUCAGACAUAUGGAGGCAGCUUUCGAAUGGUACACUUGCGGGCGUCAUUCGAAUUACUAAGUGGUAGUCGUGCAGUCCAGUUCCACGUCGAAUUCCUUACCUUUCAUUACCCGAUGUUAAAGAUUGAAUCUUGUUUGCUUUCUGAUACACUUUGGGAUCAGUACUUCCACCUAAAUCAUCAUUUUUCUUUCAUCUCACAAGAAAAAUUGGGCCGAGACCCUGCGCAUGUGUGGCGGGCAGUGGGAGAAGCUACCAUGGAGUAGACAGGGAUGGGWUGCGAUGUAAAAUCUUCUCC
rnacentral:rRNA from 1 species